rnacentral:rRNA from 1 species
AUCCUUGGCGACUUCAACAUGUACCGGUUCGCCGAGGAGAAGUCACGUGGUAGAGUCAACUGGGCGAUGAUGGACACAUUUAAUGGUUGGAUCAGAUCUCUUGGGCUUGAUGAUGUCGAUAUUUGCAACCGCAGAUACACCUGGUCGAACAAGCGUGCGGACCCGACUUUGGUUCGGCUGGAUCGUGUGCUCAUUAAUGCUGGAUGGCUACUCUCCUUCUCCCCCACGACUGCUUCUCUCGUGCCUUCUGUCACCUCCGAUCAUGUGCCUAUCCUGGUUUAG